UUGUUGGUAAGGUAAAAGCUUACCAAGGCUUCGAUCAGUAGCUGGUCUGAGAGGACGACCAGCCACACUGGGACUGAGACACGGCCCAGACUCCUACGGGAGGCAGCAGUGGGGAAUUUUGGACAAUGGGGGCAACCCAGAUCCAGCCAUGCCGCGUGAGUGAAGAAGGCCUUCGGGUUGUAAAGCUCUUUCAGCCGGAACGAAACGGUUACGGUUAAUACCCGUGACUACUGACGGUACCGGAAGAAGAAGCACCGGCUAACUACGUGCCAGCAGCCGCGGUAAUACGUAGGGUGCGAGCGUUAAUCGGAAUUACUGGGCGUAAAGCGUGCGCAGGUGGUUUUGUAAGUCAGAUGUGAAAGCCCCGGGCUCAACCUGGGAACUGCGUUUGAAACUACAAGACUAGAGUGUGGCAGAGGGGGGUGGAAUUCCGCGUGUAGCAGUGAAAUGCGUAGAGAUGUGGAGGAACACCGAUGGCGAAGGCAGCCCCCUGGGUCAACACUGACGCUCAGGCACGAAAGCAUGGGGAGCAAACAGGAUUAGAUACCCUGGUAGUCCAUGCCCUAAACGAUGUCAACUAGUUGUCGGGCCUUUACGGGCUUGGUAACGUAGCUAACGCGUGAAGUUGACCGCCUGGGGAGUACGAUCGCAAGAUUAAAACUCAAAUGAAUUGACGGGGACCCGCACAAGCGGUGGAUUAUGUGGAUUAAUUCGAUGCAACGCGAAAAACCUUACCUACCCUUGACAUGUAUCGAAGCCCGCAGAAAAGCGGGGGUGCCCGAAAGGGAACGAUAACACAGGUGCUGCAUGGCUGUCGUCAGCUCGUGUCGUGAGAUGUUGGGUUAAGUCCCGCAACGAGCGCAACCCUUGUCAUUAAUUGCCAUCAUUUAGUUGGGCACUUUAAUGAGACUGCCGG
rnacentral:rRNA from 1 species